ensembl:lncRNA
GUCAAUGGGGAUCAAUGGGGUUAUGGGGUUAUGGGGAUUAAUGGGGUCAAUGGGGAUUAAUUGGGUUAUGGGGUUAUGGGGAUUAAUGGGGUCAAUGGGGAUCAAUGGGGUUAUGGGGCUAUGGGUGAUGGGGUUAUGGGGCUAUGGGGACAAUGGGGAUUAAUGGGGUGGCCCCAUAGGACGUCCCCAAGACCCCAUAGAUCACCCGUAGACCACAUAAAAUGUCCCCAAGAAGCCAUAGACCCCAUAGGAUGCCCCCGAGACCCCAUAGGAUGCCCCCAGAUCCCACAUAUCCCCCCAUAGACCCCAUAGGAUGCCCCCAGACCCCACAUAUCCCCCCAUAGACCCCAUAGGAUGCCCCCGAGACCCCAUAGGAUGCCCCCAGACCCCACACAUAUCCCCCCAUAGACCCAAUAGGAUGCCCCCAAACCCCACAUAUCACCCCAUAGAUGCAAUAGGAUGUCCCCAGACCCCAUAGAAUGUCCCCAGACCCCACGUAUCUCCCCAUAGACCCCAUAGGAUGUCCCCAAGUCCCCAUAGAUCACCCCCAUAGACCCCAUAGGAUGUCCCUGAGACCCCAUAUGGUGCUGCUGAGACCCCAUAGAACCCCAUAGAGGUGACAGUGGGACCCCAUGGAGUGCCACCAACCCCACAGAGGUGACAAUGGGACCCCAUAUUGGUGACAAUGGGACCCCAUAGAGGUGACAACGUGACCCCAUAGAGUGCCACC